GGGAGAAAACAAGUCCAAAAGUCCAAACCCUCCCCACAAGAACCCCUCUCUUUUCUCCUCUUCUCCACUCUCCAAAACAACACUAUCCUUUACAAUUCUCAACCCUUCGUAUUGAUAGAACACCCAUCUACACCAUUUCUUCUCCUUUUUAUUAAAAAAAACCACCCCCACAAAAUUUCAAAUUCCACCCCUCAAAGCUAGAAAGAGAUGUCUAGCUUUGGGGCCUUCUCUCACCUUCUUCUGCUGAUAUUUGCCUCUUUCAUCAGUGGAGCAAGCUCUUUCAAUGGCGUUGUGAAUGGGUCGGAGAUGCAGCCAUUGGUCGAGCCAGGGCUGGGAUCAAUGGUUCUGAAUGAGACACGUAGGCGGCUCGGGAGCUUUCGGAUAUGUGCUCUUUGUACGUGCUGUGGCGGUCCAAAGCGGCUGUGCGUGCCUUCCCCUUGCUGUUAUGCUAUCAAUUGCAAUAUUCCAAAUAGGCCCUUUGGUUUCUGUUCUUUUACACCGAAGACCUGCAAUUGCUUUGGUUGCCAUCUCUAGUCCCUAAGAAAUUUCUUUCUUUCUAUUUUUUAAAAUUGCAAGUAAGCCCCUCUUCUUCCUUUUUUUUUUUUUUGGCUAUUUUUUGGGUGUUUUUUAUUGUGUUGAAAGUGUGAGGUUGCAAAUGUGAAAAUCUAUUUUAUUGUGUUGAUUUGCAAUUUAGCAUAGAAAGUUCAUGAAUUCACGAUUAUUUCAGUCUUUUUUA